rnacentral:lncRNA from 1 species
ACCUGUUCUGACAUGCUCUGGCAGCAGAGGAGAGUAUCAGGACCCUUUGGAGACUCAGAGGGACCUGAAGGCUGGUAUUCCCCUCAUUUCAGAGUAAGGACCUUAGAGCAUAGAUCACGUCACUUUACCAAACUGCUGUAUCACCUACACUGUUUUGAUUGCACCUCUUCAGACUGCCAUAGCUUAGAACAUGAACGUUACAUCAAUAAACCAUCAGCUACACCCUUGAUCUGUGAUCCUCAUCUCUUCAGCUAAAGGAGAAAACAAACACACUCAUGAAACAGAAACAUGACCAAGACCUGAUUGCCGGACUUCUCGGUGUGUGUGUGGCCUAGUUGUUGAGUGUCACAGUUCCCUUGCAUUGCUGAAGGAGGGAGCCGCCGAGCUGAACUGUGAAUCUACGAUGUAGGAGGAGGGGCAAUGCUUACAGGAGGAGGAGCCUGCACAUGGAAGCAGGAGGUAGAACAGCUCAUCCGGAAACAGCUAGCACAGCUGGAGUGGAGAGUGGUGACGCUGUUGCUUUCGGGGGCUGGGUGUGGAGGCUGCCUGUCUUGCACGCACCUCAAUGCCACGGGAAAAAGUCAGAGCCCAGAAUCGUCAGAGACCAUUUUCACUGCAAGCCUACCAAGCAGGAAGGCUGAGGACUUCAACAAGAAGAAAUCAAUCAUUAUGGGGGGCUAAUUUUGAUUCUUUUUAAAAAUCUAUUUAGAGACAUGUGGUAAGUUAAGAAAGCAGGAAACCAAAGAACCUGACAUUUUUUGGAACCACAAAUAAAAGCUCCUUUAAAAAGUUAACACGGCAAAGAUGAAUGUGGAUUCUAACACGUCAACACAGCUGUUUCGUGAUUUGGCUCUGCUGGAAGUUGUUAUACUAGAUCAGAGCCAAAAUGGAAACUUAGUUUGAUCUACAGCUCCCACUUUAAGAGCCCUAAAAGGAGACACUGUGUCCUCUGAGCAGACUAGGGCUCAUUUCAUUCAUGUAAUAUAAGACAUGAGACUGAAGAUUAGCUAGAAGACAAAUUUAGCAAGAAUGACCACACCAAAGACCACUUUUCAAAUGCCACCUUUGAAUAUAAUUAAGUUGUAAAAUGUA